rnacentral:tRNA from 1 species
GCAGCUGUAGCUCAGCUGGAUAGAGUACUUGACUACGAAUCAAGUGGUCGCAGGUUCGACUCCUGCCAGCUGCGCCA